GUGAGAGUCGCCGAAAGCGUGUGUCGGAAGUGAGGUUCCAGCAUAGAAAAUUAUUACUCAACACCAUGUGUCGGAAUGUGCAUCAGAAAUCGGCUCUCAACUAGCUUUCCGAACAGCUAUGCAGACUCAUCAUCGAUCACUCGAAUGACUUCAUGGAAAAUGGACUAGAUAUUUGUUGUACGAGAAAUCAACCGAAAAUAUGAAAGAUCCCGGAUCCUCUAAUUACCCUGGUAGAAAUAAUGAUAUCAACCUUCUACAACUAAAAAGGACUGGUACAGCUAGCACAAUUUCAAGCGAUACAAAUAAUGGUAUCGGUGUUUCGUCCUUAAUAGACAGGAUGAAAUCAGAAAAUCUUCCUGCUACACUACAGAUGAAACCCAAUCAUUGGGGGAUUGACUUAUUUCUGUAUGGCAUAUCGCAUUGGAUCUAACUUUGGAUUAUCAUCAAACAAAAAAUCUCGAAAAACAUUAAAAGUCAUUACAUCCACCCACAAAAUUCAGCUUCAUAAGCUGCAGCGUACUCGAAAUUCAGAACAGUCGAUAACAUCGUGUACCAUUUCAAAAAUGGCAAACAUCAUCAAAGGCAACAAAGGAACACUAAAGAUCCAAGCGAUGCACAAAAUUUGAACGCCCAUCUCCAAAAUGUCUCUGAACGAUUCCCUGACUGAUCGAAACAAGAAACGAUCCAAUGGAUCUAUAGAAACAUUUGCCAUCAUUUAACGACCCAGAACUGCAGCCGUCUUAUAAGGAAAAUCUACUACAAUUGAUCAUCUACACGGAUUUUGAUGACGAAGCUAAGGAAGUAUGGCGGCCAGCAGAUCAAUUAGUCUUGGCUACAUCAUUCUAAGGAAGAAUGUGGGGCUUGGUUACAUCAUUGGACUACUACUAAUCAUCGUUAUUCAUCAGCAUCGUUGAACUCAUCCUUGAGGUAAAUGGUAUCAACAAAACUAAGAUAAGUUAGCUAAUAAGGGAGGGUUUCAAAAUUGUAUCAAAAUUCAAAAUUGUAGCUAAUAAGGGAGGGUUUUAAAUGAAUGAUCAUCAAAUCGAAAACAGUCAUAUUCACCGUCCAAGCCGUCACGAGUAUCUAAAUUGUAUUGGUGUUGACAUUUAAAACAGUUGCCACAAUCAUGCAGAGCAUACUAAGGAAGAAUGUGGGAAUCAAUUAAAAGACUGGACGCAUAAUGACAGAUGCCAGUUGCUUUAUGCUGGUUGGUUCUAUAUGACUUAUUCGAUCAUUGCACCGACUUCAAACGUUUCACCGAGGGUUCACGGAACCAGAGCGUAAUAUUGAUAGAUAAAAAUGUAUCAUUGAGAAUUUUAUAUAAACUUAUAUACGGUGCAUCAUUACUUGAAUGAAUGCAUGAAGCCAUAAGGAAUACUGGAAUUAUUCAUGGUAUUGCAGGUGACGUUCCAUUGAUUAUAUACAGAACAUUCACCAAUUUGGGAGAUUUGAUAAUUUCUGAAAAAAUAGAAGAGAAGUGUUAAGGCAAGAUAAAGAUAUUUACCAUUGAGUCGUUCUGGAGAAACAAACGCUACGAAAGCAUAUUGAUACAAUUUUUGUUCUUGGCUACUCGCUCCAUCUUGCUAUUAGUGAGGAAGAUUGGAAAAAGUAGAAUUGUUACCUUCAGCUAAUCCAAAAGCUUUCAAUGAUAGACAUAGCAUCUAUUGGUAUUUUACAAUGAUUUUGAUUGCAAUGAACACGGCGUCUCUGAAGAAUACGAACUUCAAAGAUGGCUUUAUUGUAAUUGGCUGGUGAAUAACUAUUCAAAUAAACUUCAAUUCAUUGAUGAAGUCAUAAGACAUAAAAAAAUUUAAAAAUAUUAAAGCACAAUAGCUACAGUUCUACAGGGGGGUUCUAAUAAACAGUGCAAGAAAGUAGAGGAAUCACCAUUUUGAAUCAAUCAAGCAUCUCGUAAAGCAUCUAACAUACACGAACAGGUUGAAAAUGAAAAGCUUCUGGAAGUGCAGGCAUGCUUUAUUCGGUUUGGAGCAACACUGCUAUCAGACUUAUUGGCUCUACAGAGUAAAGAUCUUGCUUGUACAUUAUUUCUCAAUGAUUCGGAUUUCACCAACGACUCAGACACUGUAGAGGAAGUUCUUUGUUGCAUCGAACAACUCAUCUAUUUGAUUAUUAUAUAUCAUGAAGCGUUCCAAGCGGUUCAAAGUAUUAUUCAAAAGUGGGAAAAAGAUAUACUUAAAUAAUCCACAAAACAGGUGUUUCUUAUCAAGAAUACAAGCAACAUCCCAAGCGAUCUUAGUGGUUAUCGCAUUUGUGAUCUAACAGGCGAAUCAUAGAAGCUGAUCCUCAAUGAAGGCAUUCCUUUAUGCACAACGACCAUUUCUCCAAGCUACUUUUUCAAAACAAUUUUCAAGAAUAUUCUAUCGAAGAAGUUAUCAAACUGUUAGACUUGGGAAGGCAGAGAGGGGCUGAUAACAAAAUUGUGAAGAAUCAUCAACAAAUUCCUAACAAUUAUGUCCAACGUUAUUGAGUAGUCGAGGCAAUGACAAUUAGAACAGUUAAUUUAGGCCAGUCUUAAGAUUAUAGAGUGGUCACAGUCAUACAAAACAUGCCUGAUUUGCAAUAAAAAUAAAUCAGCAUUGAUAAAAUAAUCGAACGCAUAAUGAAACACAUAGAUUCCAAUACAAUUUUUCCUGAGGCUAAUAGUUUAGGAGACAAGAAUGAACCUAUCGUUGAUAACGAAGCAGAAACGGUGUUUAUAUUGUUGGAAGAAACGGUAUUUGGAAAGUCGACGAGUCUCAUGUGGUUGGCGUGGUAUUUGCGGAAACAAAAUUCUAAAUCCUGGAUUGUUCGAUGCAGUCUACCUGAUUAUUGCACCGAUUUCAAACACAUCAUUGAUGGUUCACGGAACCAAGUCGGAGUGUCCAUAGAUGAAAAUGAAGCAUUGGGAAUGUUGUAUGAGCUGAUUCGUGUAUCGCUCAUUGAGAUUUGUAGUAGCUGUCAAUCUUCGUUUAGGUUGGUUGCUUGAAAAUGUUCGGAGUGCUUAAUUCUUCCUGAUCGUUUCCCAAUGUGGAAUGAGGAACUGACGAUACAUCGUGGUUUUCCCCCCCAAAAAAUCGCAAUUAAACUGCGGAUAUUUGUAACGAAGUUCAAAUCAGGUUUGAUGGUGUUGCUUUUAAACGGAUUUGAUGAAAUCGCGACUCAUUACAAGGAGGUAGUGUUGAAGUUUCUUCCUCGGUUUGUAUGGAAUUUGAUGGAGUGAGGAAAUUGUAGCUCGCCAGUCGUCCUUACACUUUUAAAAAGCAAUGGAAAGAGGCAUUCAAAAAGAUGGUUUAUUUCCGAUUAAAAUAUGUUUCCCUGCAAGGUAAAGGGUCUAUGCUGUAUAAGAUGAUAAAAUUGAAAAUGCAUAAUGAACGCAUUGGCGAUAAUGAAGCAUUUUAUUUCCGUAACAUAUUAUGUGUUCCGUUACGUUGGAAUCUACAUGAAAUGAGUGGUAUUGCAUUGAACCUUAUGAUGCCAGUCGAUAUUCUUGUAAGACUUGUUGAUCAGUACAUAGCGUUUUCUUCAAAAAACGCUCAAUUAAGAGCAAUUUGAGAAAAUGAAAGACAUAUCCAAGUCAUCGUUUACUGUGGAAUCGUUUGUAGAAAUUCAAUUCCAUUUGACAUAUUAAAAAUUAUGAGUGUGUUCUUACGCGGGUAAUAAUCCAAUUUAGAAUGCUGUUCAUGGUAAAAAAAUGCAAAAAGUAAAACGGUAACAUUAAAUAAUGGCACUAUUGGUGUUAUUUGACAAAAAUGAGUUGGACGUUAUCUUAGCAGAUACAAAGAAACGUGAGUCGUAUAAUUACUUGAACAAAAUACAUGAACCCAUAGAGAAAACUGGAAUUAUUCAUGGUAUCCAAGACGAAUUUCCAAUGCUUAUAGAUCGAACAUUUGAUGAAUGUUUGGCUGGUUGAUGGCUUAUCAUGUGUCAAAUAGAAUAGAACCGUCAAGGCAAGAUAAAGCUAUCUAGUUUAGAAUCGUGCUAGAAGCGACAAACACAACGAAAGCAAUUGUGUCAAUAAUUCAUCGCCAACACCAUUCUCCUCAUCUUCCUAUUAUGGAGGAAGUGAGAAAAAGUAAAAUUAUUCUAUAUAGCUAACCCAAAUGCUUUAAACGGGAGAGAUACUAGGUGUAGAACAUUAUUAUAUCUAUUGGUAUCUGACACGGAAUCUAACGAAAUCCGAAUCUAACGAAUCAUAUAUACUAAACGACAAAGCAAAGUUAUUUGGUUAAACCACUUUAGAUUGCGUAUUACGUGAAGAUAAGUCUAAAUUUAUACUAUUUCUUUUGCAUCAUAGAAGUCUAAUCACUAUUGAUGUACUUUACAAACAGGUAAUUUUAGUUGGACAUGUUAAUGUUCAUUUAGUCAUUAAUAAAUAUGUUACGGAAUACCUAAGCCGAAAAGUAAUCGAUGACGAAUCGCACAAUGUCUGAACAGACAAUUCGUGUGAUAGUCUGUAGAGACUGUGCGAUUGCUUUCCGGCUUAGAUAUUCCAUAACAUAUUUAUCAAAUGCUUCAAAAGCUACAUGAACAUUAACAUGCCCAACUAAAACUACCUGUUCGUAAAGUACUUCUACAUUGAUUAGGCUUCCAUGAUGCGAAAGAAAUAAAAAAUAUCUAGACUUAUCUUCACGGAAUGCGCAAUCCAACCAAAUAACUUUGUUUUGUCGUUUAUUAGAUGUGAUUUGAUAGAUUCGGUCAGAUAUCCCGUCAGAAUUCGUGUCAGAUACCAAUAGAGGGAAUAAAGUUCUGCACCUAUCAUCUCUCCCAUUGAAAGCCUUUGGAGUAACUGAAGGAAAUAGUUAUACUUUUUCGAAUCUUCUUCAAUAAUAGCAAAAUGAAAAGGAUAGUGUUGGGCAUGAAUUGUGUCAAUAUGCUUUCGUAGUGUUUGUUGCUUCCAGAACGACUCUAAACUAGAGAUCAUUGUCCUGCCUUAACGCUUUUACUCGUCACAUGACAAGUCAGCAACCAGCCAAACAUUCAUGGAAUGCUCGACCGGUAAACAUUGGAAACUCGUCUUGGAUAUCAUGAAUAAUUCCAGUUUUCUCUAUGGCUUCAUGUAUUUCGUUCAUGCAAUUAUACGACUCACUUAUCUCUGUAUGCGAUAAGAUAACGUCCAACUCACUUUUUGUCAAAUAACACCCAUAAUGCCAUUAUUACAUGUUAUCGUUUCACUUUUACUAUCUCAUUACCAUAAUGCUUUUGGAAUAGGAUUAUUAACGGUGUUUAUAUUCACUCUAAAUUUGUAAAAUGUCAGAUGAAGUAACGUUUCCAAAAGCAAUUACACAGUGAACGAUGGCUUGGAUAUGGCUUCCAUUAUCUCAAAUUUCUCUCUAUGUACUGAUCAUCAGGUCUUAUAAGAAUAUCCACUGCCAUCAUAAGGUUCAAUGGAAUAUCACUCAUUUUAUCUAGAUCCCAAAGAAGCGAAACUUGCAAUACGUUAUAGAAAUCGUAAACCCCAUUAUCGCCAAUGCGUCCAUUAUCCAUUUUUAAUUUCAUCAUCUUAUACAUCAUAGACCCUUUAUCAUGCAGGGAAACAUUUUUUAAUCGGAAAUACAUCAACUAUUUGAAUGCCUUUUCGAAUUGGUUUUUGAAAGUGUAAGGACGACUGGUGAGAUACAAUUUCCUUACUCCAUUAAAUUGUGCAAACAGAGAGAGAAACUUCAAUACUACCUCCUUAUAAUGAGGCGCGAUUUCAUCGAAUCCGUCCAACAGCAACACCAACUUACUUAUUUUGAACAUUGCUACGAAUAUUCGCAUAUAAAUUGUGUUGUUGCGGGAUAAACAAAGAUGUUUUAUCAGCGAUUUGUUCACAAUGACGAAUCGAUCAGAAAGAAUUAAGUAUUUUGAACAAUUCCAACCAGUCAACCUCACGAAUCAUAGAUCGCUGCUACAAGUAUCAAUAAGCGAUAAACGAAUCAGCUUAUACAACAAUCCUAUUGUUACAUUUUCCAUUUUGAACAUUUCCUCUUGGUCCCGUGUCCCAUUAUAGAAGCGUUUGAAUUCGGUACAAUAAUCAGAUAGAUUGCAUCGAACAAUCCAGGAUUUAGGAUCCAGUGUCUGUGAUAGCCAUGUGCAACAUGUGAAACUAGUCGACUUUCCAAAUCCCGCUUCUCCCAACAAUAUCAACACCGUUUCUGCUUCGUUACCAACGAUAGGUUCAUACUUGUCUCCUAAACUGUUUGCCUCAGGGGAAAUUGUAUUGGAAUCUGUGUGUUUCAUUAUGCGUUCGAUUAUUUUAUCAAUGCUGAUUUAUUUUUAUUGGAAAUCAGGCAUGUUCUGUAUGACUGUGACCAUUUUCUAAUCUUAAGACCGAUCUAGAUUUUCUAUUUUAUAUAUUAUUGUCUUGUCUACACAAUAACGUUGAACAUAAAUGUUUACAGUUUGCCGAUGAUUUUUCAAGAUUUUAAUUUCGGUCCUUUUUUGCCUUCCCUAGUCUAACAAUUUGAUAACUUCUUCGAUAGAAAGCUCUGGAAAAUUGUUUUGAAAAAAUAGGUUGGAGAAAUGGUUGUUGUGCAUAAAGGAAUGUCUUCAUUGAGGAUCAGCUUCCAUGAUUCUUCUGUUAAAUCACAAAUGCGAAAACCGCUAAGAUCGCUUGGGAUGUUGCUUGUUUUCUUGAUAAGAAACACCUGUUUUGUGGAUUGUUUUAGUAUAUCUUUUUCCCAUUUUUGAAUAAUACUUUGAACUGCUUUGAACGCUUCAUGAUAUAUAAUAAUCAAAUAGAUGGGAUGUUCGAUGCAACAAAGAACUUCCUCUACAGUGUCUGAGUCGUUGGUGAAAUCCGAAUCAUUGAGAAAUAAUGUACAAGCAAGACCUUUACUCUGUACAGCCAAUAAGUCUGAUAGUAGUGUUGCUCCAAACUGGAUAUCGCAGGGCCAAAACUUCCAGGAGUUUUUCAGUUUCAACCUGUUCGCACCAAACUGAUAAGUUUUUCAAAAUGAAAACCUGUUCGUGUAUGUCAGAUGUAUAUCAGAGCUGCUGGGCUGACUUGAAAUGGAGAUCUCAAUGCUCUCUAGUGAUGUUUCUUUGAUCUAUUGAACUUUAUAUGUGCUAAGGUGUUUUUAAUAUUUUUAGAUUUUUUUGGGUAUCAGGUGAAUUCAAUGGCUUGGUUCAAUAAAACAUUCGUCUUUGUAAUUUUUAUUCAUUAACAUGCAUAAAAGAGUGACUUUACUUUAAUGUUCACUACAGAAAAUUCUAUGAUGCGCUAACACCAAAUCACUUUCCUUGCAUUGUCGAUAGAUAGCAUAGAUUAUAAUCAUGCAAUGGACCAAGAAUUAGUCAGCAGGUUUAUCCGUGCUUUGCCUGCAUUCCUGUAGAGAAACCAAUAAAACCUAAACGAGAAUAAAAUGUUGAUAUAAUAUUAUUUGUUACAC